rnacentral:rRNA from 1 species
GUCGAACGAUGAAGCUGGAGCUUGCUCCAGUGGAUUUGUGGCGAACGGGUGAGUAACACGUGAGCAAUCUGCCCUUGACUCUGGGAUAACUGCGGGAAACUGUAGCUAAUACCGGAUACGACACCUUGGGGCAUCCCAGGGUGUGGAAAGAAUUUCGGUCAAGGAUGAGCUCGCGGCCUAUCAGCUAGUUGGUGAGGUAAUGGCUCACCAAGGCGACGACGGGUAGCCGGCCUGAGAGGGUGACCGGCCACACUGGAACUGAGAUACGGUCCAGACUCCUACGGGAGGCAGCAGUGGGGAAUAUUGCACAAUGGGCGCAAGCCUGAUGCAGCAACGCCGCGUGAGGGAUGAAGGCCUUCGGGUUGUAAACCUCUUUUAGCAGGGAAGAAGCGAAAGUGACGGUACCUGCAGAAAAAGCACCGGCUAACUACGUGCCAGCAGCCGCGGUAAUACGUAGGGUGCAAGCGUUGUCCGGAGUUAUUGGGCGUAAAGAGCUCGUAGGCGGUUUGUCGCGUCUGCUGUGAAAAUCCAAGGCUCAACCUUGGACCUGCAGUGGGUACGGGCAGACUAGAGUGCGGUAGGGGAGAUGGGAAUUCCUGGUGUAGCGGUGGAAUGCGCAGAUAUCAGGAGGAACACCAAUGGCGAAGGCACAUCUCUGGGCCGUAACUGACGCUGAGGAGCGAAAGCGUGGGGAGCGAACAGGAUUAGAUACCCUGGUAGU